rnacentral:rRNA from 1 species
CUCUCGUUAAGGAACUCGGCAAAAUGACCCCGUAACUUCGGGUGAUGGGGUGCUCUAUUAGGGUGCAAGCCCGAGAGUGCCGCAGUGAAUAGGCCCAGGCGACUGUUUAGCAUAAACACAGGUCUCUGCAAAACCGUAAGGUGACGUAUUGGGGCUGUCGCCUGCCCGGUGCUGGUAGGUUAAGAGGAGUGCUUAGCUUCGGCGAAGGAACGAAUUGAAGCCCCAGUAAACGGCGGCCGUAACUUUAACGGUCCUAAGG